rnacentral:rRNA from 1 species
GAUGAACGCUGGCGGCGUGCCUAAUACAUGCAAGUCGAGCGAACGGACGAGGAGCUUGCUUCUCUGAUGUUAGCGGCGGACGGGUGAGUAACACGUGGAUAGCCUACCUAUAAGACUGGGAUAACUUCGGGAAACCGGAGCUAAUACCGGAUGAUAUUUUGAACCGCAUGGUUCAAAAGUGAAAGACGGUCUUGCUGUCACUUAUAGAUGGAUCCGCGCUGCAUUAGCUAGUUGGUAAGGUAACGGCUUACCAAGGCAACGAUGCAUAGCCGACCUGAGAGGGUGAUCGGCCACACUGGAACUGAGACACGGUCCAGACUCCUACGGGAGGCAGCAGUAGGGAAUCUUCCGCAAUGGGCGAAAGCCUGACGGAGCAACGCCGCGUGAGUGAUGAAGGUCUUCGGAUCGUAAAACUCUGUUAUUAGGGAAGAACAUAUGUGUAAGUAACUGUGCACAUCUUGACGGUACCUAAUCAGAAAGCCACGGCUAACUACGUG